rnacentral:rRNA from 1 species
GGCUUCGGCCUGGUUAUUCAUAACCCUUUGUUGUCCGACUCUGUUGCCUCCGGGGCGACCCUGCCUUCGGGCGGGGGCUCCGGGUGGACACUUCAAACUCUUGCGUAACUUUGCAGUCUUAUUAAACUUAAUUAAUAAAUUAAAACUUUUAACAACGGAUCUCUUGGUUCUGGCAUCGAUGAAGAACGCAGCGAAAUGCGAUAAGUAAUGUGAAUUGCAGAAUUCAGUGAAUCAUCGAAUCUUUGAACGCACAUUGCGCCCCCUGGUAUUCCAGGGGGCAUGCCUGUUCGAGCGUCAUUUCACCACUCAAGCCUCGCUUGGUAUUGGGCAACGCGGUCCGCCGCGUGCCUCAAAUCGUCCGGCUGGGUCUUCUGUCCCCUAAGCGUUGUGGAAACUAUUCGCUAAAGGGUGUUCGGGAGGCUACGCCGUAAAACAACCCCAUUUCUAAGGUUGACCUCGGAUCAGGUAAGGGAUACCCGC